CGGGGCUUCGCACCGUUCCAGUGACGCGCACGCGCGCUAGGACGUGGCGGACGACAUCACACUCCACGGCUCGUCCGCCACGGCCAACGCAAGCGCUCUGGAUACACGUACUGGCCCUUGCACAGCGGAUUUCCAUAGGCUUCUCUCAGCUCAAGGAAAUCGGUUGAUGAGCCGCAUGGCACGGCUCCUAUGUCCAGCGCGGCGUCCACUGCAUCGAUGCAGGUGCGGGAGCCGAGGCACUUGGUGAGCGUAUGGUGAUCGCCGUCGAUCUGUCGCACACGAGCACGUGCCAUGACUGUAAGCACUGCCUCGGACGCGCCGACUGCAUGGAUGUCCUGCGCGUUCACGUCUACUGCCCGCAGGCUCUGAGCACGGACUUCAGCUGCUGAUGUGCGUGCUCGCUCCGUCGUGACACCCCACUACAUUCAAAUUUCGUUCACGGAGCCGCUGCCGUUUUAUAUGCUCAACGCGACAGUUCCGACGCGCGAUGACGGAAGGCACGCACCUCCAUGCGUGGCAUCCCAGGGUCCAGCGCCCCCCCUCCACCCCCGCUCUCUCUGUGUGCGGAAGCCCGGCAGCCCCCUCACCCUCUAUCCCUGCCAACGCCGAACCACUUCUGGUGCUGACAGGGCUGGGCCCUUACGGCGUUGGGCGAGGUCGGCGCGACGUAGCGCCACGGAUGCCGGCGGCCAUGUCGUGCAUGGCGCUGCGUCCGAGCCACCCGCGACAGUGAGCACAGGCUUGCACCGUCCAUGCGAUGGGCGGAGCGUGUCAGCGCGGCUCGAGCGUGUCGCAGCCGGCCCCUCACACUGGCCCACGGCGAGGGGUGCGGGGGCCUGAGUGUCACCGCGACGGGGAGACGCACCCAGGGAGGAGGUGGGGGGAGUGGCGACCGGCAUGAUGGAGGGGCGGCUGUGGGGCGAUGUGUGUGUAUGUGGGUGUCGUCGCGUUUGAGGCAGGAGCCGUGCUGCGAUGACCGAGCCGGCGCACUGCUGCAGCGCGCGUGUGUCUUGCGCUGCUUCGCACCAGGCGAUGGGAGUGAGGUGGGGUGCCUGCAGCACUCGGCGGCGGGGGGGCAGAGCGGCCUCCACCUCGCAGUGUGCGGCAGCGAAAACGGACACGCGGAAGACCAAACAAUCUGGGACGCCCCCAAGAGGGGCGCUUCUCCCUGGGCUGCGCUUGUGCCCGACGGCUGCCUGCCGCUUGUGGGCGAGGUGCCUGCGCUGACGGCUGUGCUGAACGAGCUUGUGGAGUGGCUGUGGCUGGUGGGCGACAUGCCGAAGGGGAGUUGUGGUGUUGAUGUUGCUGGUGUUUGUGUGCCGGCGAAGGUGGUGUGGAGGUGUUGGAUCAUGAGCGUCCAGUAUCUCGCACCCCCUUUCUCUUCUCGCCCACUCCCAGACGAUGGAUGUGGUUUUCGUCUGCCACGCUUGUGUGUGCGCACCGGUGCCGCGCUCUCUGGUGAUGGUGGGCACGCACCUCGGUGGUGGGUUUCUGUGAGGUGGCGGAUGGGAUGUCGUGGCGAUGACAACGUCUCAUGCACGCGAGUAUACACACACCCACACCUAUGCAUGUACAUGUACAUCCACAAACAACAAAAAAUGGCACACGGCUGCCGUUCUUGUGCCGCGGUUGACGGCGUAUACACAGGGGCAAGGCGGAGUUGAGGGUGUGCACCUCCGCAGAAACAGCGCAGGGCUCAAGACAGCGACACGAAACGGAGGAGGAGGAAGAGGGGGGACGCGUGCGCGAUGAAGCGUUCGACCGCCUGUCGGUUGUGCCGCUGCUGUCAGUGUCGGUUGCUGCUGGGUGAUGAUGGUGGCCGAGGACACCGUCUCGCACUGCGAGCCCCCUCCCUCUACCCUUUUUCCUCCCGCCCCCGCGCGCGCGCCUGUGCAUGGGCGCACUGCCGAUCCCAGUCUGGGGCGCGCACUGUGGUGUGCGAGUGUGUGUGAGCGGGGCGGCGGCAUUCUAUCCCGCGCGCCCUCCCUCUACGCCGCGCCCCAUCUGCUUUAUCCAUUCUUUCACUCCUUCCAUUGCUCCUCUGCCGGUCUCGGUGCUCGCGACCUUCUCAG
rnacentral:misc_RNA from 1 species